ACUGGUAGUAUGUCUGUACACGUUGUUGUCGAUUUUUACAUUUUUACUGUUUUCGACCUAUGAGAAAAUUUUUUGUGGAUUGGAGAUUUUGUGGUCUCGUGUAGUUUGCUUUCCGGAAAAUAAGCUUUUUGGAAUCGGGAAUUUUCGCAGCCUUCAUCUUGGGACUUUAGACGUUGUGUCAGUAUUUAACAAUUUUGAUUUCAUCGGGCUAAUUGAACAGUUUGACUUCUUUUGUUGGCCGCUGAGUUAACAUCCGAAUUCAAAAUGUCUAGCCGAGAAGGUGGUAAAAAGAAGCCGCUGAAGCAACCUAAGAAGGACGCAAAAGAACUUGACGAAGACGAUCUGGCUUUCAAGCAAAAGCAGAAGGAGCAAGAAAAAGCUAUGAAAGAAGCUGCCUCGAAGGCGGCACAAAAAGGACCCCUCUCUGGUGGGGGCAUAAAAAAGAGCGGGAAGUAAUGUGCUGGGAUUUCUUGUUUCCCUGAGCUUGAACGGAAAUAUCGGCAACCACCAAAUUUUUUUGGGACCGCAAAAACGCGUUUUGCUAUUUCACUGUUUAGCGGCAAUCGCAGAUCAUCUGAUUUGUGUCCAAAUGCUGCACACAAUGCCAUGUUUUCCACUAUUCUGGUACCAUUUUUAUUGCGUAACGAAGGUUUUACUGCUCUACCACACUGGACAGCAUCCUCGUCACGGUAAAAAAGGGUUGAUAGACGCGCUAAUAAAGCUUUGCUGUAACUGA